rnacentral:rRNA from 1 species
UACGUAGGGGGCAAGCGUUGUCCGGAAUCAUUGGGCGUAAAGAGCGUGUAGGCGGCCCGAUAAGUCCGCUGUGAAAGUCCAGGGCUCAACCCUGGGAUGCCGGUGGAUACUGUCGGGCUCGAGUCCGGAAGAGGCGAGUGGAAUUCCUGGUGUAGCGGUGAAAUGCGCAGAUAUCAGGAGGAACACCAAUGGCGAAGGCAGCUCGCUGGGACGGUUACUGACGCUGAGACGCGAAAGCGUGGGGAGCAAACAGG